CUGGCAGAAGGGUGGGCCUUUCUCAGACUCCAUCUCUAGAGGUUUAUGUUACUGUCCUUUCGAGAGAAUCCAGAUUCAGAUUUUGAGUUCUGUGGCUAUUGGCGAAAACCAACAAAGACCCAAAUCCUCUGUCUUUGGGAGCUUGGGGAGAGUUGACCAGUUCGUGUUGCCACUUGGCCUGAGAACUUUGCCUUUUAAAUCCAUUCCUGGCCCCUGCCUACCGCUUCCUGGUCUGGGGAAUAGAGUUGAGGGGGCCCCCCCUCAGUCACCUGAAUUUGACUCUCCCCACAGAAACAACAGAAGAAACAAGUGGAACAUCAGCUGGAAGAAUGCUUGCUUGGCUUUUCUCCCAAAGGUUCAAUUCCAGACAAUCAACAUCCUCGUGUUGGAAUAG
rnacentral:lncRNA from 1 species